UACAGAGGGCUCAAGCGUUGUUCGGAAUCAUUGGGCGUAAAGGGUGUGUAGGUGGCGCCGUAAGUCGGGUGUGAAAUUUCGGAGCUUAACUCCGAAACUGCAUUCGAUACUGCGGUGCUUGAGGACUGGAGAGGAGACUGGAAUUCAUGGUGUAGCAGUGAAAUGCGUAGAGAUCAUGAGGAAGACCAGUGGCGAAGGCGGGUCUCUGGACAGUUCCUGACACUGAUACACGAAAGCCAGGGGAGCAAACGGG
rnacentral:rRNA from 1 species